rnacentral:lncRNA from 1 species
CCCGUAGCUUUCUUCGAAAGGAUGUUGUUGACAAUGAAUAUACUACUGUUUGUUGAGUGCUUUGAGUUUCUCAGAAGACAGUCGCUGUAUAAAUAGAAGAAGGGCUAGGAAAGGAGAGGCCAGACAACCAUUCGCUGAUUUCGCUGACUUACUGUUGACCAAGCAAGGCCUGAAUCAUCUCCAGCUGGACUGGUUCACCAUUGUGGGCAACAGAGGUGUUCCCCAUGGAAUUUGCAAGUGGAGAGAAGGAAGAGAAAUACCCAAGCUCUUUUCCCACAGAAGGAACCUAAAUGAAAAAAAAGAUCUGGGCAAAGUAAUAUUUGUGAAGAUGAAGACACUACACAGUAAAAUCACAUCAAGAGAAUGUUAUCAACCUCUUUUUAACUAAAAGAAUGAAAAUGAAAUGAAAAGGAAUAUUUCAUUGACCUCUUAAAAUUAAUCAAAGACUUUAAAGGUGCAAUUCAGUUACCAGAAGUAAUGAAAGGAAUGGAACCGGCAAGGAACCGAGAUACAACCUGCUCUCAAGGAGGCUGGACUAGGUCAUUCCAGAUUUGCAUCAGCUCUGGGGAUCAUGGCAGUCAGACUAUGGGAUCUUACCCUAGUGCUGACCAUUAACGUAAAACAGUUCUCUGUUGGUCUUUGGUUAUUUUUCUGUGUUUUCUCCUCCACUUCUUACCAUCUGGAUUUACUCUGCAUCUUUUUUCUACCUCACAGCUUUUCCUUCGUUGUAGCUCUAGUGCAUGCCCCUUGGCAUCACGAUAAUCAUGAUCA